rnacentral:rRNA from 1 species
GGUCACCGCAAGGGAAGCUGGCGACCGAAGCCCCGAUAAACGGCGGCCGUAACUAUGACGGUCCUAAGGUAGCGAAAUUCCUUGUCGGGUAAGUUCCGACCUGCACGAAUGGAGUAACGACUUCCCCGCUGUCUCAACCAUGAACUCGGCGAAAUUGCAUUACGAGUAAAGAUGCUCGUUACGCGCAGCAGGACGGAAAGACCCCGGGACCUUCACUAUAGUUUGGUAUUGGUGAUCGGUUCGACUUGUGUAGGAUAGGUGGGAGACUGUGAAGCUGUCACGCUAGUGGUGGUGGAGUCGUUGGUGAAAUACCACUCUGGUCGUUCUGGUUAUCUAACGUUGGGCCAUGAUCUGGUUCACGGACAGUGCCUGAUGGGUAGUUUGACUGGGGCGGUCGCCUCCUAAAGGGUAACGGAGGCGCCCAAAGGUUCCCUCAUCCUGGUUGGCAAUCAGGUGUCGAGUGCAAGUGCACAAGGGAGCUUGACUGUGAGACAGACAUGUCGAGCAGGGACGAAAGUCGGGACUAGUGAUCUGACGGUGGCUUGUGGAAGUGCCGUCACUCAACGGAUAAAAGGUACCCCGGGGAUAACAGGCUGAUCUUGCCCGAGCGCUCACAGCGACGGCAUGGUUUGGCACCUCGAUGUCGGCUCGUCGCAUCCUGGGGCUGGAGUAGGUCCCAAGGGUUGGGCUGUUCGCCCAUUAAAGCGGUACGUGAG